GGGACUCAUUGAAUGUCAAAGCUCAAAAAGAUCGAGGUUAAGUCCUUUACCUUUUGGAGAUAUCUUUUCAUAUUCUUCUCUCGGACUUCAUAGCCGCCCUUGAUAUGGCCAACCACUAACUGAGAGUCGCUAAAGACCUUCAGAUGCUGGGGCCCUACUUUCCUCACCACCCUGAAGCCAGAAAGUAGAGGUUCAUACUCCGUCUCAUUAUUAGUGAUGGGAAAGUCAAAG
rnacentral:lncRNA from 1 species